rnacentral:lncRNA from 1 species
CAGGUAUGUACAAGAAGACACUGAACAAUGUGGAGACCAGGAGGAAGUGGAUAUUAGCAAUCUCCAACAUAAACAUGAACUUUUCUCUGCCCGGGAGUAGCAGCCAGUGCUCCUUAGAGAGGUGUGGUAUCGCUCUGAUGAAGAACAAAGACAAGAAGAACAAAGACGGGAGCCUGUCCCUUGGGAGCCUCUCAUUGGCUUUGACUGGGGCACACAGAGACUGGAAGCUGGUUACUUCAUCCUUGAACAAAAAUCAGCUUCAGCACUUUAUCCUUCUGGGUACAAGCAAGUGGGAGUAUCUGGGUACCUCAUUGAAGCUGUCCUAUCAUCCCAACUGAGGACAUUGGAAAAGCAUCAGUUGCCGGGAAAGCAACUCCAUUACAAACAGUCAACACUAACUUCCUUCCCUGGUGGAUGGAUGGAGCUCUAGACCUUAGACUGAAGGGUGUGCUUGUUUGGGAGGGGACAGCCUUUAUCUGAAUGAAAGAGGGCGAAGCUCUCUUAUGUCUCUCAUGUCCUCUGUGUGAGGUCCUAGACCCUGAGAGUUUAAAGAACCUUCUUUAAUAAUUACAGGUGACUAGCACCCCUUCAAUUUUAACCUUAAUAUGUUCCUCUAUGUCUCUCACAAUCCCCAGAUAUAUAGAUAAACAUGCAUACAUGUUUGUUUUUAUUAUAUGAGUAUAGGCUUUCCUCUUGAAUGUGGACAGUGCUAUAGAAUGGGGAACGUGUUGGGGGCUACUUUAGCAGAAGUGACUUCUCUGAGUAAGUAUUAAAUGUGAUAAAUGUGAUAUCUGACCCUCUUUAGUGCAGUCUCAGAGUUGGCCAUGGGCAACACUGAAAUAAAUUAAUUAUUCUUAGUUAAGGCUUUGUCCUGUGCCCUGACACCAAACCUUCAAGUUCCCACUGCCUCCUCGUCUUGUAUAGCUCUCUUGUCUGUCAUAGUUUGCCUUCAGACAAGAAUCGUAUAUUGAGUCUUACCAAGGUACAGAUGACUGAUGGAGGAAAGGCUCCAUUCC